UACGGAGGGAGCUAGCGUUGUUCGGAAUUACUGGGCGUAAAGCGCACGUAGGCGGCUUUGUAAGUUAGAGGUGAAAGCCCGGGGCUCAACUCCGGAACUGCAUUUAAAACUGCAUCGCUUGAAUCCAGGAGAGGUGAGUGGAAUUCCGAGUGUAGAGGUGAAAUUCGUAGAUAUUCGGAAGAACACCAGUGGCGAAGGCGGCUCACUGGACUGGUAUUGACGCUGAGGUGCGAAAGCGUGGGGAGCAAACAGG
rnacentral:rRNA from 1 species